rnacentral:lncRNA from 1 species
UGGGGUUAAGGUUUGGGUUUAGUGAUAGCAAUUUAGGGUUUAAUAUUCAAAAUGUGCCUUCAAGUGUCAACUAUUGAAAACAAAUUAUAGAUUGUAUUUGGGUUUAUAGGUUUCUACCUAGGGUUUAGAUUUACUAAUUAGAGGUUUGAGUAUAGUAAACCAUAUUAUAUAUAUAGUAUUUGGGUUUAUGCUUCCUUAAUCGGAGUUUAGCUUUAAUAAUUAAUGGUGUGUAUUGUAUUGUUGUAUUUUUGCGGGUGGGGAGGGUUGACUAUUUGCAUUUUAUACUAUGGAUACACCACUGAAAAAUUUUGAUUAUUUGAAAAAUUAGUGUACUAUACUACUUAGACUAUAUGGAAUAGAAGAUAUGUAAGAUGCUAUCCAAGUAAAUGUGCCCUUAAGUGUCAAAUAUUGAGAAAUAAUUUAUAGAUUGUAUUUGGGUUUAAAGAUUCAUGCAUAGGGUUUAGAUUUAGUAAGUAGGUUUGGAUUUAGUAAACCAUAUUAUAUAUGUUCUAUUUGAGUUUAUGCUUCCUUAAUUUAGGUUUAGCUUUAUUAAUCAGUGGUGUGUCUUUCUUCUUUCUUUGAGUCAUUUCUUUCUUCUUUUGUACCGGUAACUUGCAUAUAUGGAGGGUAUAACUGGAUACUAUGAAGCCUAAAUGUUAGUUUAUUCAUUUAGGGUUUAGUGAUUAAGAUUUAGAGUUUAGUAUAUGGAAGGUGGGGUUGAGAUUUAGGUUUAGUGACCCUAUCAUGUAUUGUUUCAUUUGACGAUUAAUAAAUAGUGUUCUCUUUUGUUCACCAUUAUAUACUAUACUAUAUUUUUUGUUCCAAUCUAUCUGGGUUUGGGAUCUAUACUUAAGUUUAGGGUCUAUAUCUGGGUUUAGGGUUUAGUGAUUAAGAUUUAGGUUUAGUGAUUAGUAUUUGAAAAGUGGAGAUUGAAGUUUGGGUUUAGUGAUAACAGUUUAGGGUUUAAUAUUCAAAAGUUAGGUAUGAGUUUAACAUUUAAGAGUUGUGUGUUGGAUUAGAGUCAUAUAAUAUAUUUCAUAUGAAAUGGAACCAUACAUUUAUUUUUCAGCACUAAAU